AUGGUAGGAUAGAGGCCUACCAUGGUGGUAACGGGUAACGGGGUGUUAGGGCACGACACCGGAGAGGGAGCCUGAGAAACGGCUACCACAUCCAAGGAUGGCAGCAGGCGCGCAAAUUACCCAAUCCCGAUACGGGGAGGUAGUGACAAUAAAUAACAAUACGGGGUUCUUUAGGAUCUCGUAAUUGGAAUGAGUACAAUUUAAAUCUCUUAACGAGGAACAAUUGGAGGGCAAGUCUGGUGCCAGCAGCCGCGGUAAUUCCAGCUCCAAUAGCGUAUAUNAAAGUUGUUGCAGUUAAAAAGCUCGUAGUUGAAUUUCGGGGUCAGUAGGUCGGUCGUGCCACUGGUAUGAACUGGUUUUACUGAUUCCUCCCUCUUGAAGAACUGUAAUGCCAUUAAUUUGGUGUUGCAGGGAAUCAGGACUGUUACUUUGAAAAAAUUAGAGUGUUUAAAGCAGGCUUUAGCUUGAAUACAUUAGCAUGGAAUAAUGAAAUAGGACGUUUGAUCCUAUUUUGUUGGUUUCUAGGAUUGACGUAAUGAUUAAUAGGGAUAGUUGGGGGCAUUAGUAUUCAAUUGUCAGAGGUGAAAUUCUUGGAUUUAUUGAAGACUAACUACUGCGAAAGCAUUUGCCAAGGAUGUUUUCAUUAAUCAAGAACGAAAGUUAGGGGAUCGAAGACGAUCAGAUACCGUCGUAGUCUUAACCAUAAACUAUGCCGACUAGGGAUCGGAUGAUGUUAAUUUUUUAAUGACUCAUUCGGCGCCUUACGGGAAACCAAAGUGUUUGGG
rnacentral:rRNA from 1 species